CUCUCCUCCUCCCCGCGUCUCUCUCCCUUUUCUCUGCAACUCCGGCCACCUCACGAUUCCGGCCACCUGGGGACGAACGAGUGGCACCGUUGGACUCCUCUACUCCUACCCAACCUCCCCACGGCGGUAACUCACGGCGGCUUGGCCGAAAAACGAAGCAUCGGGUCCUUGAAGUUUCACUGUAGCAAAUUGGUCAACGCCGGUUUCUCCCGAUUCCGGCCACCUCCGGCGACGAACCAUAAUCAUUUGGAAGCGGCUUGCGAUGUAGAUGAUACUUCCCAAAUCUUUUGCAGCGAUUUGAAGCAUGGAGGAAGAAUUGAAGGGCAAUGUUGCGAGCUACGGCUAGAUGAAGGGACUCGUUUGCGUGGUCGCCAACUAGUACUUUUGCAGGCGCUAUUAGUUGAGGUCGGGCAUACAUGGUUCGAGGCAUAGUUGAUGAAUAGCUUCCGCACUUCUUUGUUUGGCUCUGAUCUAUCGUAGCUUACUGUUUUGGGUAGUCCACUUUAGGGGUGACUCGACCAGUUCUCGGUAGGGUUAUCUCUAAGGUGGGCCCCGCAGGGCCACCUCGGAUUUCAGGAUGAAAUUCGGGGCGGGUCCUGUCAAUAUUCGACGGUAAACAAGCUAGUUUUCACUAUUCAUAAUUUCAAUUAAAGAUAGAUUGGAGUUGAUUGCUAUCUGCAAUAUAACCAACAAAGAA